CUUCCUCCUUCGCUUUCAGCAUCACAGCUGCUACUAUCUGAAUCCGCUUAUAAUGGAGGUCAUCGACCGAUGCAGAAACAAAACACUGCGCUCUGCGAUGGAAAUGAGAGCUGAAUGAAAGGAUGGUCUGGAGGUGAGCCAACUGCCAAGGGUACGUGGACCAUGCAGAAGCGAGAAUCCCACGGCAACGACAUGCGGAUACGUGUCUCACUGGGGGAAGAGGGAUCUGGGGCUGUAGUUGAGAAACACGUGGGACUUAGACAGUCCAACGUCCAUCUCUGGAGAAUCAAAACAACAGACACAAAUCUUCUCCAAUCCCGGCUCUGUUUCCCGUUUACAGCCAAGUUCAAGACUACUGACAGACAGGCAGAAGGGGGAGAAGGGUUCAGCAAUUCAGGUAAUUACAUUGAAGCAACUGGUGAUUUCUCAACCAAACAAAAUGUUCUCAAAAUGUAUUAAAUACCUCUGCAAUUUUUAAUUAUAGUACAGGCUAAUAAAACACAAAACAAUAGUGCAGACAGAAUACACUGCUACAACAUCAAUAUUUGAAAAGAAAUAAACACUUGUGCAUUGUUUAUUGUUUUAUAUGUGGCAGCUGCACUAUAAAUGAGGGUUUUGACUCUAAUUGACUAAAUCUCAAUUACAUCCCGUGAUAAACCUUCCCUUCCGUUUGAUGGAGACUUACUGAUGUGACAGCCCGUUAUUCUACUGAUGAGUCAUUACACGCUAGUGUUAAGUUGCAUCCGCCUCUGGGAAUAUAAAACCCUUCGUGUUUGAGCUGUUGUGACGGCGUGCACUUUUAUACCCGGACGGUCAGAUUACAUAAAGGAGCCAUAUUUGAGCAUAAAACAAGCGGCUUUAAACGCUGAUCGGUGUCGAGUCUGCGCCCAAUCAACAGCAACAACGUGACCCGCUAGUUAACCUUGCCUUUCCAGCCUAUUGUUGCCCCGUCCAGUGAUCCGGUAGCACCGAACCGUUAAAUCUGCGUGUAACUCAUCCACAUGGUCGGAAUAAAGCGGUGUUUUCCAGCACCGUUUGAGGCAAGCUGUCACAACGACCGCGCGCACACGUUUCUCCCCGGAGCAGACGAGCUAACGGUUGCUAACAGCUGGAUGACACAUGCGAGCGGGUCGGACGCCCAGAAGGAAGCAAACGUCGGAUACCCGGCGAACUGCAGACAAGAAACACGGUCUGAUCGCAUAUCGUUAACGGUGAAUACGUGGUGUAAAGUCACACUUACGCUCAGACCUUCUCCCAGUCCGCAACUGAUGUUACGCUCGCCAAGCGGCGCGUCAAGUACACCGGAAACUACGUUCACUUAGCAAAUUAAAACUUACGUUUAAGAAUAGCAUCUUAUACGUAAAACGUGAAAAUGUUGCGCAGUUAUUGCGACUGGUUGAGACUGGUUUUAAUAAUCCAGGUUAACAUUCAUAAACUGUAUUAUUACAUAUUUUAUGCAGUAAUAGCUUUACUUUGAAAGGCCAACCGGAAACCCUCUGCGUUGUAACUAAUUCCAUAAUUCAGAGGAGACGACGAUCUGGAAGAUUUUACCGCUUUCCAUUGUUCUACACAGGUAGAAUAUUUUUGUUUUAUCAAUAGAGCAACGAAAACAUAGUAACGAUCUUUUCGAACGAAAGAAGUAAAUAAUGUUUCCCCUAUUAAUAAAUUAAUGAAUACAUUUAUUGAUAAAGUUACUUUGAUUCACUGCUCCGUCAUUUGUCUACCCACCUACAAACUGAUACAACAAUACUAAAAAUAAAAGGAUAUUUUUAUUAACAUGACAAUCAAUACACAAAAAAUGCCAUAGGUCAUGAGCAGACACUUUUAAAAAAUACAAAAUAUACAUUUUGUAUAUUGAGAACAUCUAUACUGUAGUUCAUCAGCUCACAUCCCUCUCUACAAUCUGGUGGAGGGUUCAGCUGCUAACAGGGGCGCAUAAAUGAACAUCAGAAUACCAGGCAUCAACUGUGCAGAGGCCUGCUACUAUACAGUGAGAAGUCCAUGCUGUGUUGUGAACCGUAGAACUAUACAUGACAUGUACACUGAUUAGGACAGAGCAUUCACCAAAUCUUAUUCAUGCAGCAUAGUCCAUGUUUGUCCUGAUAUAAAACAGUGAAGUAUAGUACAGGGCAAUCAAAAAAGAAACAUAUUUUUUCUUGCAUUGAACUCCAAAGUCCAAAAACUGAACUUUAGUAGUUUUAUCCUGAUUCAUUUGUCCAUCCUGAAAGUUCUUAUGUGCUGUAAAAUUAGAAAUUGUGCUUUUGCACGUAUUUGCUUUUACCAGCUGUCAUCUCUUGUGAUUGUUAAAGGUUUAAAAUAAUGCUAAUUUCACUCAACUUAACUUCUAUUCCUUUAAAUUUUGUGUAUUUAUUCUUUCUAAAAUGACACAAGAAAUGCAGAAUUCUGUUUUGGGCCUGAGCUAAAUUCACCAAUAUAAAAAUUAAAUGUCUGGACCAAGGCUUCUAAAAUAUUUAUGCAGUGUUGGUAUUAAAUUGUGAAGUUUCGAUUUCCUAGCAGUAAGUCCAGUGGACAUGGUAGACCUGAGAUUCAACUCUAGGUGCCAUGUUUGAAUUUAAAAUGUUAUGCUACUCCACCAACAAGGCUGGAAUACACUUCAGAACCUCUAAUGACCAGCUUAACUUUGAUGGAUUUACGCUUGUUCAUGACUAAGGGUAAUUGACGAGAGGAGAAAUAAACUUGCCAAUUGUAAAUGUGACUUGAUUGUGACAUAAAAA